CUGAAAUGAAUGAGCUGUGCAGCUGGCUGCUGCCUCAGUGAAAGUUUUCAAUCCUAAAUACCUUGAUGAGCAGCCACAAGAAGAACGGAAAUGACAAAUGGGUUUGGCUUUUGCAAAAACGUAAGGGCUCAUAGUCUGAAAGAGCAGCUGUCUCUCUAUAGUAUUAUAGCUCUGAGGUCCAUAGAGGCACCAAAAUCUCAGUGUUUAUGUUUCUGUCCUGAGCUCACCCUGUAUAGCCCAGUCACUGCAGAACGUAUAUAGCAUGCAAAUCCUCUUGUGGUGAUUUUUUUUUGUGGAAGAUGUGAAAACAAUUCUCCAGGCAAUUCAAGGGCAAUAGUUUUUGAAGACACAGAAGGACUGGCAGAGAGGUAUUUCAAAAGAGGAAGCCUGUAUUUGUAUACUUCAAAGUGAGCUCCAUUCAGUUCAACAGGGCUUAUUCUCAAGAAGAAACCCUGCUGAGGAUUUCAGAACUACUGUAAUAACAUCAGCCUGUGGAACUUGCUACCACUACAGUCCUAAUGGGAAGCUGGGGGAGCCUGUUGAGAAGAGCAUGCAAUUUUGUUUGCACUUGUAUUCUGAGUAGCUGUGAGUGUAGUUCCUGCCUUUGCCACUGGAUUCAAAAGUUCAACUUAACUCAACUCCUGCUCCCCUUAUUUUCCCUUUAGCGCUAAC